UACAUGGGGUGCAAACGUUGCUCGGAAUUACUGGGCGUAAAGCGUGCGCAGGCGGUUUUGUAAGCCAGAUGUGAAAUCCCCGGGCUCAACCUGGGAAUGGCAUUUGGGACUGCAAGGCUGGAGUUUGGCAGAGGAGACUGGAAUUCCUGGUGUAGCAGUGAAAUGCGUAGAUAUCAGGAGGAAUACCGAUGGCGAAGGCAGGUCUCUGGGCUAUAACUGACGCUCAUGCACGAAAGCGUGGGGAGCAAACAGG
rnacentral:rRNA from 1 species